rnacentral:rRNA from 1 species
UACGUAGGGUGCGAGCGUUAAUCGGAAUUACUGGGCGUAAAGCGUGCGCAGGCGGUUUUGUAAGCCAGAUGUGAAAUCCCCGGGCUCAACCUGGGAAUGGCAUUUGGGACUGCAAGGCUGGAGUUUGGCAGAGGAGACUGGAAUUCCUGGUGUAGCAGUGAAAUGCGUAGAUAUCAGGAGGAAUACCGAUGGCGAAGGCAGGUCUCUGGGCUAUAACUGACGCUCAUGCACGAAAGCGUGGGGAGCAAACAGGAU